rnacentral:rRNA from 1 species
AAGCCGUAAGGUGGAGCUAAUCCCUUAAAGCUACUCUCAGUUCGGAUUGUAGGCUGAAACUCGCCUACAUGAAGCUGGAGUUACUAGUAAUCGCAGAUCAGAAUGCUGCGGUGAAUGCGUUCCCGGGUCUUGUACACACCGCCCGUCACCCCACGGGAGUUGGAGACGCCCGAAGCCGAUUAUCUAACCUUUUGGAAGAAGUCGUCGAAGGUGGAAUCAAUAACUGGGGUGAAGUCGUAACAAGG